rnacentral:rRNA from 2 species
CAUUUGAGUGAGUGGCGAACUGGUGAGUAACACGUGGGAAACCUGCCCAGAAGUGGGGGAUAACACCUGGAAACAGAUGCUAAUACCGCAUAANAACUCGGACCGCAUGGUCUGAGUUUGAAAGAUGGCUUCGGCUAUCACUUUUGGAUGGUCCCGCGGCGUAUUAGCUAGAUGGUGGGGUAACGGCUCACCAUGGCAAUGAUACGUAGCCGACCUGAGAGGGUAAUCGGCCACAUUGGGACUGAGACACGGCCCAAACUCCUACGGGAGGCAGCAGUAGGGAAUCUUCCACAAUGGACGAAAGUCUGAUGGAGCAACGCCGCGUGAGUGAAGAAGGGUUUCGGCUCGUAAAACUCUGUUGUUAAAGAAGAACAUAUCUGAGAGUAACUGUUCAGGUAUUGACGGUAUUUAACCAGAAAGCCACGGCUAACUACGUGCCAGCAGCCGCGGUAAUACGUAGGUGGCAAGCGUUAUCCGGAUUUAUUGGGCGUAAAGCGAGCGCAGGCGGUUUUUUAAGUCUGAUGUGAAAGCCUUCGGCUCAACCGAAGAAGUGCAUCGGAAACUGGGAAACCUUGAGUGCAGAAGAGGACAGUGGAACUCCAUGUGUAGCGGUGAAAUGCGUAGAUAUAUGGAAGAACACCAGUGGCGAAGGCGGCUGUCUGGUCUGUAACUGACGCUGAGGCUCGAAAGUUUGGGUAGCAAACAGGAUUAGAU